UACGUAGGGGGCAAGCGUUGUCCGGAUUUAUUGGGCGUAAAGAGCGUGUAGGCGGCUUGGUAGGUCUGCUGUGAAAACUCGGGGCUCAACCCCGAGCCUGCGGUCGAUACGGGCAGACUAGAGUGCUGUAGGGGAGACUGGAAUUCCUGGUGUAGCGGUGAAAUGCGCAGAUAUCAGGAGGAACACCUAUGGCGAAGGCAGCUCGCUGGGACGUUACUGACGCUGAGACGCGAAAGCGUGGGGAGCAAACAGG
rnacentral:rRNA from 1 species